GAUAUACCGGAAGUGCAAUGCUUAGAAAAGCACAUCUAGCUUAACCUCGUUAAUUGACUCACAGAGCCCUGCUCUUUCACCCACGUGUGAUGAGAAAAGAGAGGAAAAGAGCGUGGAUGAGCACAGAAGGAGCGAAGUUAGUGGGUGAACACAACACCAUCCCUUGGUCAGGUCUUUUUUGAUGAGUCCAAGAAAAUCAGAAGAUUCUAGCCCUCAUGUCCUGGAAGGCUGAUUCUAUGACCCAUUGAUGGCGAGCCUCCCAGCUUGAAUCCAGAGUUUCUACACCACCAUACGGCGGACCACCAAUCUGUGAUUGGUAUGAUCGUGCCAGUCACCCUGACUGACACCACCUUGAGUCUACCUCGUAAAGUGCACUUGGAUAAACCCCCCUUGACUUUUGACUAUUUCCCCCCGACUUUUACAACUGACAUUGACUGAACUAAGAGCAACCGCUCUCAAGAAGGAACAAAGGAAAAUCAGACUCUCUAAGAGACACUUUACUUUCUUAGUUAAAGGGCCCAUAGUUUACGUUGUUACUAUUGUGUGUUGUAUUAUAUGUUGCAGUGUUCUUUUGGCAACUAAAAUCUACAAUAACUACAACCACCUGUGUGUUUGGUUAUUGCACUCUCUCAGCUCCUACGAACCUAGUCUGUGACGUGUACAUACCUUGAAGUGGGUUACACGGUAAAACGUGGCGAGCCAGCCAGGAGCUUUGAGAAGGCAAUAACGCUGAAACCGUGUGACCACUAGAUUCUACCUUAACUGUUGAUUGGCUAAUUUACACUGAAAUGGAUGUGAUUGAAACUGAAAACAUUAAGGUUCCCAACUCCCUUCUUGUCACGGGAUUAACCAAGACUGUUGUAGAUGAAGAGCUUUAUGAGUUUUUGAAGAAAUUUGGGUCUAUUGACCGAGUGAUCACCGUUUCAGAACUAACCUCUGAAUUUUAUGGCAAAGGUAUUGUCGAGUAUACAUCUGGUGCUGCUGUGCAGGCACUUGAAAAAGACUUACCUCUUGAUAGAAAAAGUGAUUCUGAUAGCAAUGUUAUCUUUCACAUCGAGGCCUUAGCUAGUGUAUAUUCUAGCAA